rnacentral:rRNA from 1 species
CUCGUAGGUGGCCAACUAAGUCAUACGUGAAAUCCCUCGGCUUAACCGGGGAACUGCGUCUGAUACUGGAUGGCUUGAGUUUGGGAGAGGGAUGCGGAAUUCCAGGUGUAGCGGUGAAAUGUGUAGAUAUCUGGAGGAACACCGGUGGCGAAGGCGGCAUCCUGGACCAACACUGACGCUGAGGAGCGAAAGCCAGGGGAGCAAACG